rnacentral:rRNA from 1 species
CCGGCGACCGGCGCACGGGUGCGUAACGCGUAUGCAACCUACCCAUAACAGGGGGAUAACACUGAGAAAUUGGUACUAAUACCCCAUAACAUCAGGACCGGCAUCGGUUCUGGCUGAAAACUCCGGUGGUUAUGGAUGGGCAUGCGUUGUAUUAGCUGGUUGGUGAGGUAACGGCUCACCAAGGCAACGAUACAUAGGGGGACUGAGAGGUUAACCCCCCACAUUGGUACUGAGACACGGACCAA